rnacentral:rRNA from 1 species
AUGCCCCCACUAAAAAGAGCACGCAAGAAAAGUACCCGCAGCAAGGCGGAGCUCCUCCUCCUUGGCGACGAGCUGCUCACUACAAAAAAAGACACAUCCGUGACAUUUUGGGCCGAACGAAUUUUUUUCUGUCAUACAUAUGACACUUCUAUGACGAUAAUUGUGACAAAACCCAGUAUCAUCAUAGAUGUGGUGGGCUCCUACUUCUAUGACAAAAAAUCAUGA